rnacentral:rRNA from 1 species
GACGAACGCUGGCGGCGUGCCUAAUACAUGCAAGUCGAGCGGGUGAAACUGACUGAACCUUCGGGAGAGGUGAGUGGAACCAGCGGCGGACGGGUGAGUAACACGUGGGCAACCUGCCUGCAAGACCGGGAUAACUGCGGGAAACCGGAGCUAAUACCGGAUAAGAGGCUUUUCUGCAUGGAGGAGCCUUGAAAGGCGGCUGAAGUCGUCACUUGCAGAUGGGCCCGCGGCGCAUUAGCUCGUUGGUGAGGUAACGGCUCACCAAGGCGACGAUGCGUAGCCGACCUGAGAGGGUGAUCGGCCACACUGGGACUGAGACACGGCCCAGACUCCUACGGGAGGCAG